rnacentral:tRNA from 1 species
GAGAAAGGCCCGAAGCAAUAAGCCCUGCUAAUGCUUAUAUCCCACGGUUAAACUCCGUGGCUCUCUCG